UUAAUCCACAACCCUGUGCAGUCUGCUCUGGGGCAAACUAAUGGGAAAGAAAUGAGAAAGUUCCCAAGUCAGAGCGGCCAACAGGAUGAGGUAAUUACGUAGGCUGGAGAGAGGAGAAGGGGGAGGGGAGACCUGUUGCAAAUCAGCGUCUCCAGACUAAACAAAAGAAUCCAGGGCUGCGUGGUUCUUUGUAUGCAAUUCAAAAGUUUCUACACGCAAAAAGCGACUUCGCCACUAACUUUAGUCCUUCUGAAUUAUCACUGUUCAACAGACUGGCCAGAAAAAGUGCUUAAAGCCCACGAAGACACUGGUUUUCAACCAACCUACCCUUUUUCGUCUUCAUCUCCGUGCGAAAAUGCCCACUUUUUCCUCGUCAAGCGAAGAAGAAAAUUGUCUUCUGUAAAGGCGUUUAUUUGGGCGGGCAGUCAGAAUGAAGACGACGACGACAACAACAACAACAACAGGCUGGCGGAGAGCACUGCGGACCUCGUGGUAACAUCUUCCACACAACAAUAAAUAAAUAAAUAACCACAAUGAAAAAUCACAACACUAUUGCCCCAGACUACUAUUUGGCGAUUGGGCCGUGUGGUGUGUCUGUGUGAUAUUCAGGAAUACGUU